rnacentral:rRNA from 1 species
UACAGAGGGUGCAAGCGUUAAUCGGAUUUACUGGGCGUAAAGCGCUCGUAGGCGGCUAAUUAAGUCAAAUGUGAAAUCCCCGAGCUUAACUUGGGAAUUGCAUUCGAUACUGGUUAGCUAGAGUGUGGGAGAGGAUGGUAGAAUUCCAGGUGUAGCGGUGAAAUGCGUAGAUAUCUGGAGGAACACCGGUGGCGAAGGCGGCGAUCUGGCCCAACACUGACACUGAGACGCGAAAGCGUGGGGAGCAAACGGG